GGGUGCUUGCACCUGGGGAUUAGUGGCGAACGGGUGAGUAACACGUGAGUAACCUGCCCUGGACUCUGGGAUAACCCCGAGAAAUCGGAGCUAAUACCGGAUAGGACCUGGAACCGCAUGGUUUUGGGUGGAAAGUUUUUUCGGUCUGGGAUGGACUCGCGGCCUAUCAGCUUGUUGGUGAGGUAAUGGCUCACCAAGGCGUCGACGGGUAGCCGGCCUGAGAGGGUGACCGGCCACACUGGGACUGAGACACGGCCCAGACUCCUACGGGAGGCAGCAGUGGGGAAUAUUGCACAAUGGGCGAAAGCCUGAUGCAGCAACGCCGCGUGAGGGAUGACGGCCUUCGGGUUGUAAACCUCUUUUAGUAGGGAAGAAGGGCUUCGGCUUGACGGUACCUGCAGAAAAAGCACCGGCUAACUACGUGCCAGCAGCCGCGGUAAUACGUAGGGUGCGAGCGUUGUCCGGAAUUAUUGGGCGUAAAGAGCUCGUAGGCGGUUUGUCACGUCUGCUGUGAAAUCCCGAGGCUCAACCUCGGGCCUGCAGUGGGUACGGGCAGACUGGAGUGCGGUAGGGGAGAUUGGAAUUCCUGGUGUAGCGGUGGAAUGCGCAGAUAUCAGGAGGAACACCGAUGGCGAAGGCAGAUCUCUGGGCCGUAACUGACGCUGAGGAGCGAAAGCGUGGGGAGCGAACAGGAUUAGAUACCCUGGUAGUCCACGCCGUAAACGUUGGGCGCUAGAUGUGGGGACCAUUCCACGGUUUCCGUGUCGUAGCUAACGCAUUAAGCGCCCCGCCUGGGGAGUACGGCCGCAAGGCUAAAACUCAAAGGAAUUGACGGGGGCCCGCACAAGCGGCGGAGCAUGCGGAUUAAUUCGAUGCAACGCGAAGAACCUUACCAAGGCUUGACAUAUACGAGAACGCCGCAGAAAUGUGGAACUCUUUGGACACUCGUAUACAGGUGGUGCAUGGUUGUCGUCAGCUCGUGUCGUGAGAUGUUGGGUUAAGUCCCGCAACGAGCGCAACCCUCGUCGUAUGUUGCCAGCACGUAAUGGUGGGAACUCAUAUGAGACUGCCGGGGUCAACUCGGAGGAAGGUGGGGAUGACGUCAAAUCAUCAUGCCCCUUAUGUCUUGGGCUUCACGCAUGCUACAAUGGCCGGUACAAAGGGCUGCGAUGUCGUAAGGCGGAGCGAAUCCCAAAAAGCCGGUCUCAGUUCGGAUUGAGGUCUGCAACUCGACCUCAUGAAGUCGGAGUCGCUAGUAAUCGCAGAUCAGCAACGCUGCGGUGAAUACGUUCCCGGGCCUUGUACACACCGCCCGUCAAGUCAUGAAAGUCGGUAACACCCGAAGCCGGUGGCCUAACCC
rnacentral:rRNA from 1 species